rnacentral:rRNA from 1 species
GCGCUUAUGGGCGGCGAGCGGCGGACGGGUGAGUAAUGCCUGGGAAUAUGCCCUGAUGUGGGGGAUAACCAUUGGAAACGAUGGCUAAUACCGCAUAAUCUCUUCGGAGCAAAGAGGGGGACCUUCGGGCCUCUCGCGUCAGGAUUAGCCCAGGUGAGAUUAGCUAGUUGGUGAGGUAAGAGCUCACCAAGGCGACGAUCUCUAGCUGGUCUGAGAGGAUGAUCAGCCACACUGGAACUGAGACACGGUCCAGACUCCUACGGGAGGCAGCAGUGGGGAAUAUUGCACAAUGGGGGAAACCCUGAUGCAGCCAUGCCGCGUGUGUGAAGAAGGCCUUCGGGUUGUAAAGCACUUUCAGUCGUGAGGAAGGCAUAUGCGUUAAUAGCGUAUGUGUUUGACGUUAGCGACAGAAGAAGCACCGGCUAACUCCGUGCCAGCAGCCGCGGUAAUACGGAGGGUGCGAGCGUUAAUCGGAAUUACUGGGCGUAAAGCGCAUGCAGGCGGCUUGUUAAGCCAGAUGUGAAAGCCCGGGGCUCAACCUCGGAAUAGCAUUUGGAACUGGCAGGCUAGAGUCUUGUAGAGGGGGGUAGAAUUUCAGGUGUAGCGGUGAAAUGCGUAGAGAUCUGAAGGAAUACCGGUGGCGAAGGCGGCCCCCUGGACAAAGACUGACGCUCAGAUGCGAAAGCGUGGGGAGCAAACAGGAUUAGAUACCCUGGUAGUCCACGCCGUAAACGAUGUCUACUUGGAGGUUGGUGUCUUGAACACUGGCUUUCGGAGCUAACGCGUUAAGUAGACCGCCUGGGGAGUACGGUCGCAAGAUUAAAACUCAAAUGAAUUGACGGGGGCCCGCACAAGCGGUGGAGCAUGUGGUUUAAUUCAAUGCAACGCGAAAAACCUUACCUACUCUUGACAUCCAGAGAACUUUCCGGAGAUGGAUUGGUGCCUUCGGGAACUCUGAAACAGGUGCUGCAUGGCUGUCGUCACCUCCUGUU